rnacentral:rRNA from 1 species
UUCGGUGGCGAUAGCGGAGGGGAAACACCUGUUCCCAUCCCGAACACAGAAGUUAAGCCCUCCAGCGCCGAUGGUACUUCCUUGGUAACGAGGUGGGAGAGUAGGACGCUGCCGGAA